CACUAAAAGCCUGUAAAAAGUUGUAUAACUUGACAAGUAGCAGAUUGCAAGAUAGUUGAUCAGUUAUGAAGGGGAUUUGGACCCCCUGGAACAUCUCGUAGAGAAACUCCAUAAAUUGGGUGGACCUCCUUUGUGCUAGGUCCCUGUUGUGUCUUUGUAUAGAAAUGCCAUGAGAUUGAGAACUGCUGAGAAAAGUUGCUUUUUUCUGUUUGCUUGAUUUCUUUACUCAUCCAUCUGCUGGCCUCGCAGCAACUUGAGAGCUGGCUAAUCGUCAGUAUAAUCAUUAAGAUCAGAAGUGAGAGCCUUGAAUAUUGAACUGCCAUCACUGCAGGCUUGACGAGUUAUAGUCCCUUUAUAUGAGAUCAGCGAAGCGGUAGAGAAGAUAGAGCCAAAACAAAUUAAUUUUAAUGAAAUGGCCAAACUGCCCAUUGAUCAUAAAUGGAUUAGCUGUCAGGCCAUUGUCUAAACUAGUUGACAAAACAGAACGAGGAUUAAGCAGUUGUGCUUCUUUUGGCAGUUGUAGUGUUCACGUAUUUGGAUUCAGGUCAUGUUGGAAUUUCACUCUCAUGAUUCAGAUAGCUUUGCGAAUAGUUGGGAGUAUACAAUUAGAUACUGCUGCAUUAAACUUGAGCUUCUGAUGAAUGAAAGCUGAGCUUUUAAAUUGUAUUGUCCCAGAAAGGUAGAGUCUUCUUUGGUCCUUUUACUCUGGUGGAGUGCCAACUAAAAAUACUGCUUAGAAAAA